ACAGAAGCUGCCAGAGAGGUAUUCACCCAGGUAGAGCAUGCUACACAGAAACAGCAAGUACAUUCUAUUAAUUAGGAUCAGCCUUAACGAGCAAGUAUUUACCUACUCACUCCUACAGCAGCGCUAUUGCAGAAUGGCCCAUUUAUGGCUACACCUUCCCAUUUCACCAGUUGAGCUUGUGUGGCCAUGGAAAUAGCACCUCUGGAAUUCAUCAAGGUUUGUGCAGAGGAGGCUUCUUUGAUUCUAGAAGACCAACAGGGCUAACCUCGACAGAAACUUAUCUGAAGUACAGAAAACCGGUUUCUCGGAUUUGGCUUCACAAAGAUAUCUUUGUAGGACAUCUCGCGUGAUGUGAUCUCUCAGCUUCCUGCUCUGACCACCAGGCCAGCUGCUUAUGGACCAGCUACCCUGCCAUGAUGACUUCUGAGCCCUCUUACCGUUGUAAGGCAAAAUAAAU